ensembl:snoRNA LOC120097220 small nucleolar RNA SNORA24
GUUUGUUCCUUUUCUAACCACAAAAGAGCAGAUUCUUGUUUAUUGUCAAAGCUGUCACUAUUUAAUUGGUAUCAGAUUAUAACUUGCACAGUAACCUUC